rnacentral:misc_RNA from 1 species
AAAAAGAGCAAGUUAAUCAAAAUAGAGCCUUAGUUAUUCCAAUGCAUGUGAGAUUACUAAGCAAUGCCUAUUUGAAAUCAAGUAUUGCAUCAUCCAUGAAUAUGAAAAUAAUCAUGUGAUUUAGGUUAAGUAUCAGAUUCAAUGAAAAGGGAAGGAGCUACAUAAUUCAUGAGAGAGAGAGAUCAAAUAUCCUGCCUUGAUGGACUAAACAGUUAAUUAAUUGAUCCAAAGAUGACCAUAAGUAUCCCAAAAAAAUAAUACUUAGAUUAGGAAAAAGAUGUUAGG